CUCCAAUCGGUGUAGUGGGGUAUUCAGUUAUUCUACUACUCCUUUGGUCGUUUACUGUGAGAAAAUUAGAGUGUUCAAAGCGGGCGUUUGUUUGAAUAGAUUAGCAUGGAAUAAUGAUUGAAGGCUUUCGUGUUCGAUUUGAUUGGUUUGUUCAUGGAAGCAAGGUUAAAAGGAACAGUUGGGGGUAUUCAUAUUCACUAGUUAGAGGUGAAAUUCUCGGAUUUAUGGAAGAUGAACAGGUGCGAAAGCAUUUACCAAGGAUGUUUUCAUUAAUCAAGAACGAAAGCUAGGGGAUCGAAGAGGAUUAGAUACCCUCGUAGU
rnacentral:rRNA from 1 species